CAAAAAUUGCCCAGAGCCAAACUUGUGUGGCCAGGGCUGGACGGGGAGCAUCUUGGCCAUCCUGUCCCCAGCCCCAAGGGUCUCCACAUGGGGGAACAUCUCAUUGACCCGCAGGGUGGUAACAAGCUCUGCGGAGAAAGGGGAUAAAAGCUCAACGUAGAUAUCCAUGUUACUGAGAAGGACUCUCAGCCCCCCCGGGAAUGUUAACUUAUUUUGCAUGUGAUGAAUAAUUAAUUUGUUGUGUCUCAUUACCUGAGAGGUGGAGGCUGCACCUUCCUUUCCCUCCGUGCAGCGGUGUUGAUGCUGUCCUCAGAGCCCAGGGAUUUUCAUCGUUUUCUUCUGAUGCCAGAUUGAAAAAGACUCGUCAGGCUGUGAUGGUGGUGGGUUGUCCAAGAUGCUAAGGAUGUGACGACAGGUGAAACUGCCGGAUGAUGCGGGCUGGGGUGAGCACCUGGGCUGGGAGCAAAGCCAAGGAGCGACGCCGGCGCUUCGGACGGGCUUGGGAUUUGCCUUCAGCCUCCGCGGCGUGGAUAAAGCUGUUCCGAAGUGCAGCGUCCACAGGAGGCUGAAAAGGUGGUUUCCUGGAGGAGGAGGGCAACGCCAGCCUGUGGCAUCCCUCAUUCUUCACCUUUGAGUGUGGGCACCCAGAAACCGGUGGCCUCUCGCAAUGCCACUUUAUUUCUUGCAUUGCCACCGAGCCUGGGGAACACCUUGCGCCACAGCCCGUAUGUCCAUGCAUGUUGGGUCCGGGCUUGGACAAACCUGGGAGUCGUUCAUCUGAGGUUGUGCUCCCCUGUGUAAGGGGACUGUGUUGUGGGGUGAGGAUCAGGCCUUAAAACCUUCCCCUUUAUGGCCCUGAAUUGCUCCUGGACUGUGUGGUUUUAUUCCAAAUUCUCAAGUCCUUUAGGCCCACUGAAAGGAGAUGGAUGGUGAAUAGCUGAGCUCCUCCUGCGGCUUCUCAGUGAAGCCUCUGAGUUUCUCCAGGCAUGUGCAGGCGUCUGCACUUCCCUUGUCUCAGGCUUGCAGGAGUCCUCUUGGUAAUCCCCUGGGAUGAGCUACGGAGACCUGGGGAUUUCAGAAGUUUCCAAAUGGUGUGUAGACUUGAGUGCUU
rnacentral:lncRNA from 1 species